rnacentral:rRNA from 1 species
CCACACGACUCUCGGCAACGGAUAUCUCGGCUCUCGCAUCGAUGAAGAACGUAGCGAAAUGCGAUACCUGGUGUGAAUUGCAGAAUCCCGCGAACCAUCGAGUCUUUGAACGCAAGUUGCGCCCAAGGCCACCUGGCCGAGGGCACGCCUGCCUGGGCGUCACGC